GUGACAAUCGCCAUUUCUCAAGAAUUUUUCCCUAUUGCCAUGGACGUAUUUCAGACACUCCAAUAUAUAUACAGACGUUACGAAGAAUUCUACUCAGUCCAGGACUAUGUCCCCAUAAUAUAAUGCCGUAAGUCGCAAUUGAAUGAAAAUUGGCAUAGUAAGUUGUCUUGCAGAUGCUUCCUGUGCUGAUCUCCUUCAUACGUCUAACAGUAAACAGAGCUGUUGAUAAUUUACCGGUCAAAGUUGUUAUGUGGCCAUUCCAGCUUAGGUUAUCCUGAAAAGUUAUCCCCAACAGAUUCAAAGAUCCCGCUUCGUUGUCACCCAAUACAAACUUCAGCUUUUGUGUCUUUGUCAUGUUCACUCUCAGUCCAUUGACGUCAAACCAGUUCUCCGCCGAUCGCAAAGACGCUUCCGACUGCUCCCUCAAGACAUCACGGUUUGGUGCGAAAUUUAAAAUGCUGGUAUCGUCGGCGUAUAGAGAAAUAGCACCAGAGGAAACAUUCGCUGGUUCCACGUGAUCCAGCACAAUCUCCUGAGCCAUAUGGUCAGAGAGAUAUGGCUCAGUAACUUCAAAACGGUAAGUUGAAUCUUCGAAAUUGGUGACAAUAUUAUCAAUACAUGUGCGUGAACUAGAUGUAACUCGACUUGGCUCAUCAAAAACAACACUGAGACCAUAUGAACGAAGUAACUCUAUUAGUUCCCUUCUAUCUUUACUCUCCUUGAGGAAAUCUACAUUGAAGUCUCCCAAAACACAAACAGGACUAUGAUCUGUACUCUGUACCUGGUUUAAGCU